GCCCGAGUGGUGAAAUUGGUAUACACGACGGAUUCAAAAUCCGUUGUCGCAAGACGUGCCGGUUCAAGUCCGGCCUCGGGCACCA
rnacentral:tRNA from 1 species